GCCUCUUUUCUUUCUUUCUUUCUUCCUUUUUUUUUUUCCGUCUCAAUGGUACAGACAUCAUUGGGAAUGGACGGAAAUAAGUGACUGUAGGGUCGUUGCUUUUUAAGUUCCAAACACAUUCCAGGCAGGCUGUGCCUGAGCCAGUGUCUGUCCCCAGAGUGUCGCAGCGCUGUCCCCGGGAAGGUGGAGCUGUCAGCCUCUCCCCGAGAAAGUGGCCAUGCUGAGGGGCAGGGUGGCUGGGCCAGGAAGUCAUCCAGCGAAGAAAGUCUGUGUGUCACCACCCUUGUCUCCAUUCCCACCUCUGGUACAACUGGAAGGAGUGACCUCUUUGUACCACAGAAUAACUGGGAGAUGAAACAGGAAGCUCUAUGACACACUUGAUCGAAAAUGACACAGACAAAAAAAUCAGGACUCAGCCCCCUUCCAGCACCUCUACCUCCUGCCUGCUGCCCACAGCCGGGAUGCAGGUGACAGGCCUGCCCUGGGACUGCCUCUGACGGCCGUGGACUUCAAGGGCCUCUGCAUUUGCUGAGGAUGUGUCUGCGAUACUAUGGUCAUGAUCUAGCCUGGGUGGCUUCCUAUUUAUCUUGCUGUCUCUGUGUGUAUUAAUCUCUUUUUCUUCAUUAAAAGCUAAGCAAAAAAUA